CAAUUCAUUACAGCGGAGAAUGCGUGAGGGAACAUUAAAAUUAAUAUCCAUGAGCAGGUACGGACAAUCUAUUGAUCCCGCACAGAUAUCAAAGACAAAACACAUCGACAACAUAGCACGCCUAGACUCUAAGGACAUGAGGUUUAUUAGUAAGCAACGAGAGCUAUAGGACGGAAUGGGAUCUACAAAAUUCAUCGAGCGCAAAGCAAAGCGCACAAAAGCUCGCUGAACAGACUCUAAUGCAUUAACAUGGACUGCAUGAAACGUUCUCCAAACGAAUACCGCGUAUUCUAACCUGGACCGAACUAAGGACGAGUACAACAGUUUGAGAGUAUAGUGAUCAGAAAACGAAGAACAGUUUCGACGAAUAAAGGCCAACAUAGUGAACGAUUUAGAAACAAUAUAAUUUAUGUGAGUUGUGAAGUUGAGCUUGGAGUCAAAAUAGACGCCCAGGUCUUUACAUUCACUUAUUAUCAUUAGCGGCGAGUUUGAGGUGCAGUAAGAUGUUGGAACAAAACUGAAAACUUUCGCAUAAGAAGAAUAGUGACAUUUACUGAUGUUGAGGAACAAACGAUUACACACACACCAACUAUAUAAGUUAUCCAACUCACACUGGAGAAUGGGUGAAUCUUCUGGGCAUUUAAUUUCAUAAUAUAUCUUCAGGUCAUCCGCAUAUAGAAGGUAAUUACACUUGGAAAAACAUGAGGAAAUAUUAAUGAAAAGGACAAAUAGUAACGGGCCUAGGACACUACCCUGGGGAACACCAGAGGAAGCAACAAAAGAGUAAGACGAUAUAUUAUCGAGUCGAACGACACAUUGUCUGUUAUCUAAAUAGGAAGUUAUCCACUUUAGAAAUUGGGAGUGAAAGCCUAGACGCUCAAAUUUAGCUAUCAACAUUGGUGAGAUACCCUAUCAAAAGCCUUAGAAAAAUCUGCGUAGAUUGCAUCCAUUUGAAAACCCCUUUGAAAGGUAUCCAGACAAUCCUCCGUAAAUGCAGCUAAAUUAGUUAAGGAUAGGCGUAAUAAAAGUCAAUUUCCAGUCAUCAAGGAAGACUCCAGCAGCAAGUGACAUGUUGAAAAUGUGCCAUAGAGGCUUAAUCAAGGCAGGACAACUUUUAAUUAGAACGACCGAUAAGCCAUCGACAUCUGUAUUAGUGGAUGGCUUAAGCUUAUUAAUGCCAUCAAUGACAUCUUCGGCAGUCAAAUCUAAUUUCCCGAAGUUGAUGGAAGUAUCUGAAUUAAACAGGAGAGCUUCAGGGACAAAGCCAUGAUCAGCAUCGUCUGAAAUAAAAUUCGAAGAAAAAAAUUUAGCAAACAGAUUAGCAGCAUCAGAGAUGGAAUUAGCUGAAACCCCUUUAAGAUGAACCGACGCAGGUAUAUUUGAGCAGUUUUUCUUAGCUUUUAUGUAACUCCAAAAGGCCUUGGGGUUACAUUUAAUAUUGCUUUCUAUAUUACGAAUAUAAUUUCGAUGAAAAGACUUGUUGAGUUUGUUGAAUUUACCUCUGUAAGACAUUAAUGUUAGCGAAAAAAUUAAAAAAAAUCAACGCGAUCUCUUAGCGACUUACAACUUG